rnacentral:rRNA from 1 species
UAGCGCGGUGGUCCCACCUGACCCCAUGCCGAACUCAGAAGUGAAACGCCGUAGCGCCGAUGGUAGUGUAGGGUCUCCCCAUGCGAGAGUAGGGAACUGCCAGACA